rnacentral:rRNA from 1 species
CCCUUAGAUGUUCUGGGCCGCACGCGCGCUACACUGAUGCAUUCAACGAGUCUAAAACCUGCUCUGAUAGGGGUGGGUAAUCUUUUGAAUGUGCCUCGUGAUUGGGAUAGAUGAUUGCAAUUUUUCAUCUUCAACGAGGAAUGCCUAGUAAACGCAAGUCAUCAGCUUGCAUUGAUUACGUCCCUGCCCUUUGUACACACCGCCCGUCGCUCCUACCGAUUGAAUGAUCCGAUGAAUAUCAUGGAUUGAGGAUGCAAGUAGGUUCGCCUAUCUUCAUCUUCGAGAAGUGAAGUAAAUCUUAUCAUUUAGAGGAAGGAGAAGUCGUAACA